rnacentral:lncRNA from 1 species
UAACCUCUAGGAACUCCAUAGUUUCUCAACACUCCAAAAAUGCAGAAGACACAGAGUUAUCAUUAUAGUGCUGCAAGGGUCAUGUCUCUUUCAAGCCUUCCAGGAAGCAAGGGGUGGAGUGUCAGAGGUCUUCCAGGUCAAUGUGAUGCUCUGGUAUCUGUCACCCUUAACCGCAUCUGCUGAAGCAAUGGAUUCUAGUUCAGCCAUUUCUUCUGGAGUUGGUUUCUCCAACAAAGCCCCAAUGUUUUGGUUGAGGUUUUCAAUCUUGGUAGUUCCCGGAGAGGGACACACAUCAUCCCCCUGGUGAUGGACCCAGGCCAGUGCUAGUUGUGAUGGAGUGCACCCCUUCCUUGUCGCAAUUUCACUAACCCGCUCAUAAAGGAUUUUAUUAUGCUCAAGAUUCUCCGGCUGGAACCUUGGUAGGUUCUGCAAUAUGAAACACGCAUCUCAGUAACAAAAUUGAAAACCCGACAUAAUUGCAUAACAUCAUUAUUCAGUGAUAAUGAAUCAUACGUGCGCUUCUAACAUUAGUUGAUAACACAAUAAGGCAGGUUCUCAGUCAUAAUAUAGAGUCAAGCCCUCUUGUUUAAACAGAUUAUAAGAUCUUGGACAACGUCGACGUCAACUGAAUCAAGUGCCAUUGUGAACAACAUGGCACUAGGUUAUGGCAUUGAGGCAUUUUCAUUACAUGAAUCAUCCAAAUGAACCGCCCUCUUUCUCAAGAAACAGCCUCCCAAAAAUUUAAAAUACAUAAACAAAUGUGCUAGUGUUGUGAGUAAGUUGCAGUAUCAGAGGUCAAAAACCAUUUCCUCAAUUGAGCUUUCCGGCCCUAAUACAAAGAGCCUCAGAGGACAGAUUAUAUAGUGAUUUGAAAGAAAAUAUUGAAUUAAAAUAAGGAGAAAAAUAGAGCAGAAAAAUAAGGGCUAGAUGAGAAAUAAGGACAUGGUAUUCUGGUAGAUGUAAAUGUUCGUCGAUAUUCUAUCUUUUAUAAUCUUUCUGCACAGUUUAGGUGAACUAAAAACUAUACCACCUCUGGGUCACAAAGUUUAUAAAGAAAACAAUUUGUUCUGUGAAUUGUUUCUCCCCAAAACUUAGGUCCUGUCGGUUUGGGUUUGGGCAUGGUUAAUUUGCCGGCAGUGUGUUCAUCACAGCUCUAACAACAAUUAAAACAAACAAGAAUUGUAGCUGUUGGCUGAAGGUGUUUUGUCGUGAUGAACUUCAACCAUCAAAUCAGCACAAAUAAGAUAUAAAAGGGCUUUUUCAACCAACUGAUUAGAUUUUUCUGGUCAGGAAAGCACACUGUCAAAGAGAUAGACUAGAUACGCAUUUACAGAUAAACUUCAUUUCCUUUCUCUUCUUGGCUCUACAAAUUAAAGGAAGUUGCUCCUUUUUUAGUUUUUGCCAAUAUUACUCCAUUUAAACUUCCUAUUGAAACAAUAUUACCUUGUUCAACAUUCCUCUGUAACACCACAAAUAAAAGAAGCAGGAAUAAGAAAUAGCAGUUCAUGUUUGAAUUAAAGAAGGUUUGGGACCCAACACAAUGUAAUCUAUAUUAUGAGAAUUAGAAGGCAUAUGGUAUGUAUACAAACCUUUCUCAAGUCAUUGUCUGAUAAGUUCUCGACCAUCUUGGCCCCUGAAGAAAGGAAUCCACGUCCUAGAGAGCUAUAUGCAACGAUCCCAAUGCCAAGUUCUCUGAGAAAAUAAGAAGGAUGAGUUAGAAAUUAAACUUUUAAAUGCUCUUCAAACAGCUUUUUCGGUCUACCGCCUUACCUGCAAGUUGGAACUAUGUCUUCUUCUACAUCUCUUGACCACAAGGACCACUCCAACUGCACAGAUGUUAUGGGAUGAACUGCAUGUGCUCUUCUGAUUGUUGAAGCAGAGGCCGCAGACAGACCUAUGUACUUUAUCUUACCCUCUUCAACUAGCUUCUUCAGUUCUCCCAUCUUACCGACGAGCAUAUAAAAAAAAGAAAGAUUAAUUACAAAAAAUAAAAUAAAAUAAAAAAUAAAGUUUGAAUUGAUAGGAAUAAAUCAUUUAUAUUAUAAGUUUACCCUAGAUAAGGUAAAGAGGAUUCUUACUACGAUACCAGUGAUUUUUAGAAAGGCCUCAAUUUAGUUACUAUAAUUUAAUCUUACUAUUAAUGAAUCUAAGGGUCAAAUCUAUAAGAUGUAUAUAGGCUUUUAAUGGAAUAAAAUUGGAAAUCAAAAGCAUAUUUAAUUGAUUUAAGAAACUAUGCUUAAAAAAAAACAUCUAAGUUUUGCAUGCAAUAUUAGGUGUAGGAUUCAAUUUGAUCGUGAUUGAUUUUGAUCUUAAACCCUAGAUUUUAUUUGCUCUCUCUCUAAGGAUUUGACACUGCAUCAAGAAACUCUUCAUAACAUUUUUCUUUGUUAGAUUUAUUUCAUUAAAUAUGUUAAGAAAAUUUUGUUCAUAUUUUAUCCUUAUUUAUUUAAAUUAAGGUAUCAUUAAUAUUAGAAAAUAAUUAAUCUUUCUACACAUUAAGUUGAUCCUAAAGGACAAUGAUCCAAAAUACUAUAAACUCAUGGUAAAUCCAUCUUUUGUUUUUCUUGGCCAAAGUUAUCAAAUAUUUAGGGUUUAGUAUUUUAAUUACAACAAAGGUUUAUGAUCGUAAAUCUCACAAACCCAAAAUUCUUCCACCCAAUGGCUCUCUUUCUUCUUGAAUUUAAGCAUUGGAGAUGGUGAAAGUCUCACGGAGAGGUGGUGGUUAGGACUUUCCUCUCUCUAGAGUGCAUAGGAAGACAAAAUUGAAUCCCCAACCCCUAAGGGGAAUUUAUAUAGACUUCUAGUGGAUUUAAGUAACUUGAGCAUGUAUUGAGUUUAGGUCAUUUAAUACAGUCCAAGUGACUUGUCCCGUGGAUCAAACCAUAACAAUACUAGGGUAUACACUUGGAAUAAUGCCUUAUUGAUGGUAUCUAUGAUGGCAUGCUAGAUACAAUAACAAUAGCCUUUAUUGUUAGUCUCCUAAUUAGUAUAAUACUAAAACAAAACUAUCAGCUCCAUUGGCCUGAUAGUGAUGAUGAAAUAAUUCUUUAUUGAUAACACACUAUUUGAUAGUGAAAUAUUAGAGCAAACCUUACUAGCUCCAUUAAUUAGGCCUUGAUGGCACUAAGAGGUUGACAUAAUAUCUCAUUGAUAACACCUUGUAUGUUAGAACAAUGGUUUCAAAUACCACUCUUCCAUUUGUUUUUAGUGAAAUGUAAACAUAAAAAUCACUAGCUUCAUUGUCAAAUCAUGACAAUAAAAAGACAUUGGAAUAAUGCCUCAUUGAUGACAUACUAAAUGUUGGAGUAGUAAGUAACCCAUUCUGUCAGUUCUUCAAUUAGAGACUCAUACAAUUGGCCUCCAUUAUUAAUUGCAAUGAUGUUAAAGGUUCUAUACUAGUUAGUAUAACACAUCUGCCUCUCCAUUAAUACUACAAUAUACUAAAGGUCAAGUAGAACAAAGAACUAGUGUACAACUAGCGAUACUAAAAGAAUAACUCCUUAUGAUCUAUUUUUCAAUGAAAAUAAGCUAACCUUAUUACAUUGGUUAAACUUCUCAUACUAAUCUUAAGUAGACAAAAAAAAUUAGAUGAUAUAAUUUACCCUAGAGUUUAUUAAGAAUGGAUGAUUUUUCCAUUUAAUAAGGUCAAUCUAAAGUAGACAAGAUAAAUGAAGUUCUUGAUGGGAGCCAUUUGCAAAGAUCGAAUUGAAUUAGGUCCAGGAUCCGAGGCCAAAAUUCAAUUUGUAAAGAUAGUUAUUGUUGUGGGACAUGUCUCUCAAUAAAAAAUUAAUAUCUCUUCAUGUUAGUCACCUGGAUUAUAGAGAAAAAAUAAAGUUAUAAGGGAAAAACGUAUUUCCAUACACUCAUAUGAAAAAAUACCGGUUGUAUACUAGUUAGGAUAACACAUUUGCCUCUCCAUUAAUACUACAGUAAACUAAAGGUCAAGUAGAAUAAGGAACUAGUGUGCAACUAGCAAUACUAAAAGAAUAACUCCUUGUGAUCUAUUUUUCAAUGAAAAUAAGCUAACCUUACUACAUUAAUCAAACUUCUCAUACUAAUUUGAAGUAGACAAAAAAAAUUAGGUGAUAAAUUACCCUAGAGUUUAUUAAGAAGUAGAUACUCUAGGGAGGACAACCCACUUAUUUGAAGGAAAUAGAUGGGAGGACCACUCAUUUAUUUGAAGAAAAUAGAUGAGAACAAUUUCACUGAUGACCCAUGACUAACCCACACUAGUCUUCCUCUUAAAAAUGAAUGAAGAAGGUUGUCUUGACCGGCAAUGAAAAAAAUUAAAAAUAUAGUGUGGAGCACGUGAGGUUCAUGUAUUGUGCAUGCUUUUCUUGGAUUUCCUCUUUAUCCAUUUAUAGCAGUGAAUUCGUUCCAAAAAUCCAGAUUUUUCAAUGGCAAAAUCCUCCUUUGCAUCAACAGCCAAUGUGCUGCCUUUUCUUUGUGUUGCCACAUGUCCUUUUUCCUUUUCAGUUUUCAAUAAUAUAACCACAUCCCUAAUUUUCCUAACUUCCCUUAAUUUCAAACAUAUUUCUCAUAUAUUUUUCUUUUAUAUUAUUUUAUAGUGAAGUUAAAUAUAAGAAAAUAAUUUUAUUCAACACUUUGUACUAAGAAAGGGAUAUGAAGUUCUUGAUGGGAGCCAUUUGCAAAGACCGAAUUGGAUUAGGUCCAAGAUUCGAGGCCAAAAUUCAAUUUGUAAAGACAGUUAUUAUUGUGGGACAUGUCUCUCAAUAAAAAAAAUUAAUCUCUCUUCAUCUUAGGCACUUGGAUUGUAGAGAAAAAAAUACUAAAAAAAAAUUAUUAAAGUUACAUUAGCAAUUAGGGAAAACAUGUUUUCAUACACUCAUAUAAAAAUAAAACCGUAAAAUAGAACUCAAGUUUAUAAAAUACAAAUUUUAAGUAACUAUCUAAAAAUAAUUAGUAUUUCAUACACUUUUUUAUCAAAUGUAGUACAUUUGACCAACUUAAGUACUACUUUCAUCAAUAAAAAAAUGAAACUUGAAUUAUUUUUAGAAGGUUCUUAUUUUAUAAUUAUUUUCACGUGAGUGUGUAAAAACUCACUUUUCCUAACAAUUAUGAUGGAUUGGCUAAUUGGUAACUUAGCACUCCAAUGGACAGACUUUCUAUUUUGAUUUUUAAAAAGAGUAAGUUGAAGUAAUUUAUUUAUAAAUAUAGUAACUAUGAUGUAAAUAAGUAUGUAUAUAUGAUGACACAUGGUAGCAUUUACAAGUCAAUGAUCCGCCUAAAAAUAAGAUUUAGAGUCCAUUUGCUAAUAAUUUUAAGAUUUAGAGUCCUUUUGGUAAUAAUUUUAAAAAAAAUCUAUUAUGUAAAUGUUAAAAAAUCUAGAAACGUUUUCUGAAAUCAAUGUCAAAUGCACUUUUCAUGUUGUUUUGUGUUCUUGUAUUUUAGGACUGAUAAUGUAAUUUUAAACUCCUGCAAUGCCCAAGCUCCUAAUUUAUUCAACUCCUUUUUAUUAAAACUUUAGUAUUAUGAUCCUCAGAAAAUCAUAAAAACACACUGCCUCACACAAAACACUCUCUAUGAUGCAGUAACCUCUAGGAACUCCAUAGUUUCUCAACACUCCAAAAACACAUAAAAUGCAAAUACAUACGAGUUUCCGAGGCAAUAAGGAGUUACUUUAAUUGUACUGCAAGUCUGCAAGGAUCAUGCCUCUUUCAAGCUUUCCAGGAAUCAAGGGGUGGAGUGUCUGCUGUCUUCCAUGUAAAUGCAGUGCUCUCAUAUCUAUCACCCUUAACACCAUCUGCUGAAGCAAUGGAUUCUAGUUCAGCCAUUUCUUCUGGAGUUAGUUUCACUGACAAAGCCCCAAUGUUUUGUUUGAG